GAUGAAGAACGUAGCGAAAUGCGAUACGUAAUGUGAAUUGCAGAAUUCAGUGAAUCAUCGAGUCUUUGAACGCACAUUGCGCCCCCUGGUAUUCCGUAGGGCAUGCCUGUUCGAGCGUCAUUCAAACCUUCAAGCUCUGCUUGGUGUUGGGCGUCUGUCCUGCCUCACGGCGCGGACUCGCCUCAAAUCUAUUGGCGGCCGGCACGUUGGCUUCGAGCGCAGCAGAAACGCGAACUCGAGACCGGCGGAUCGGCUCCCAGAAGCUACCCCCAUGAAUUUGACCUCGGAUCAGGUAGGGAUACCCGCUGAACUUAAGCAUAUCAAUAAGCGGAGGA
rnacentral:misc_RNA from 1 species